GACGAACGCUGGCGGCGUGCUUAACACAUGCAAGUCGAACGGAAAGGCCCUGCUUGCAGGGUACUCGAGUGGCGAACGGGUGAGUAACACGUGGGUGAUCUGCCCUGCACUUCGGGAUAAGCCUGGGAAACUGGGUCUAAUACCGGAUAUGACCUUCCAUGUAGUGUGGGGGGUGGAAAGAUUUAUCGGUGUGGGAUGAGCCCGCGGCCUAUCAGCUUGUUGGUGGGGUAAUGGCCUACCAAGGCGUCGACGGGUAGCCGGCCUGAGAGGGUGGACGGCCACAUUGGGACUGAGAUACGGCCCAGACUCCUACGGGAGGCAGCAGUGGGGAAUAUUGCACAAUGGGCGGAAGCCUGAUGCAGCGACGCCGCGUGGGGGAUGACGGCCUUCGGGUUGUAAACCUCUUUCGACAGGGACGAAGCUUCGGUGACGGUACCUGUAUAAGGAGCACCGGCUAACUACGUG
rnacentral:rRNA from 1 species